GGCCGUAGCGCGGUGGUCCCACCUGACCCCAUGCCGAACUCAGAAGUGAAACGCCGUAGCGCCGAUGGUAGUGUGGGGUCUCCCCAUGUGAGAGUAGGGAACCGCCAGGU
rnacentral:rRNA from 1 species